GGCAAAGAUGACGAGUGCUUUAUAUUCUGACACCUCUUGUAUGAGAGGAGUUCAAAAAAAACUCUUCUUUGAGCACAGAUAGCAACUCUGAGCC
rfam:Morus notabilis contig23391, whole genome shotgun sequence.